GGGCGGAGAGUUAACAGCUCGUAGUUGAAUUUCUGGCUAUUAAUUAUUUUCUUCGGAUUUUAAAUAAUAGUCAUCCGCUUGAGAAUCAUUUUUGCUCUUCACUGGGUGAUAUGAGUAUCAAGUACUUUACCUUGAAAAAAUUAGAGUGUUUCAGGCAGGUUUUAGCCAUGAAUACACAAGCAUGGAAUAAUGGAAUAGGACUCUUAUCCAUUUUGUUGGUUAUUGGAUCUGAGUAAUGAUUAAUAGGGACAGUUGGGGGCAUUAGUAUUUAAUUGUCAGAGGUGAAAUUCUUGGAUUUAUUAAAGACUAACUUAUGCGAAAGCAUUUC
rnacentral:rRNA from 1 species